rnacentral:rRNA from 1 species
UACGUAGGGUGCGAGCGUUAAUCGGAAUUACUGGGCGUAAAGCGUGCGCAGGCGGCUUUGCAAGACAGAUGUGAAAUCCCCGGGCUCAACCUGGGAACUGCAUUUGUGACUGCAUGGCUAGAGUGCGGCAGAGGGGGAUGGAAUUCCGCGUGUAGCAGUGAAAUGCGUAGAUAUCAGGAGGAAUACCGAUGGCGAAGGCAGGUCUCUGGGCUGACACUGACGCUCAUGCACGAAAGCGUGGGGAGCAAACAGG